rnacentral:lncRNA from 1 species
GAGCUACCAUUCUGGAGUCUGGAGGAUGGUGGCCCUCUUCUCACAACUCCAUUCUGCAGUGCCCCAGUAGUGACUCUGUGUGGGGGCUCCGGCCCCAUAUUACCUGUUCGGUAGAAAGUCCCGCCAUCUUUCCCCCAGGUUUCUUGCCCCCACCCUCCCCCCAGGCUUCCUGCUGCCCUGAGAAAAGCCCGCCAAGCCUGCUCUGUUCUGCCCAGCAACAACAAGCAGCCAAUCAUCGCAGCAGGAAAGCCCGCCAAGCCUCGGCCUAUCCUGAACCGACACGUAACCCUCUGAGCCACCUCAGCAGUCUGCCCAGAGACGGACAGCCUAUCCUAAGCUCCUACGACACUCCGCCAGUCCUGUGUCCAUGCCCCGUCCACCCCCCCUAUAAAACCCUCCUACCCCAGCUGCGCAGUCGCAGCCAGCCCCAUUCUCCUUCCUUUCCUGGCCUGCCCACUGGUCCCAAUAAACCUGAACUUGGCUUCCAACUCUCGAGCUGUUAUUUGGGGUCGGGUACGGGGCAGGGGUCUACAAGGGGGUCGCACAUAUGGUGCCAAAACCUGGGAUGGAGGGUCGCUAGCCCCCCUAGCGACCCCCUCCCUCCAGCGACCUCCCCAGCCCUCCUCCAAUUCGGCCUCAGCACUCUGGACCAGGUGGCCUGGCCCCAGUAUCAGCUCGAUAACAGGUCGCAUUGGCCUCCCACCGGCACUUUCGAUUUCAAUGUGCUCCGCGACCUAGAUAACUUCUGCCGCUGAACUGGCAAAGAUAAGGAAGUGCCUUAUGUUCAGGCUUUUUGGGACCUGCGUUCCCAUCCUGACCUCUGCUCUUCUUGCUCUACUCACCAAGUUCUUUUAGCCCGAACUCCCCCACCGCAGACUCCUACCUCCCCAACCAAGCCACCUCCCUAUACUCUACAGGAAGAGAUGCCUGACCACAUGUCUUCCCCCUUUGUUCCCACUCCGGAAGUCCACUACCUCUCCCCCUCCCUACUCCUCACCGGAGGAUCUGCCUGAACAUCUAUCCUCUCCUGCCAAUCUCAGCAACCAGUCGCCAUCAACGGCAUGCUCUUCCUCUGCUCCCUCUGCACCUCCUACCUCAGAGGCCAUGCCUCGCUCUCCCUCUACUCCCUCCGAGCCCCCUCCCUCAGAGGCCACACUUCCUCUUGCCUCUCUGGUGGCGGCCCACACCCGCUCCCACCAGCCAGCUAUCCUGGCCCCACUCUGAGAAGUAGCAGGCGCAGAAGGUUUAAUCAGGGUCCAUGUUCCCUUCUCACUCCAAGACCUGUCCCAAAUUGAGAAACAUUUAGGAUCCUUCUCAGCCGACCCGUCCACCUAUAUUAAGGAAUUCCAAUACCUCACUCAAGCCUACAGCCUCACUUGGCAUGAUAUUCGCGUUAUCUGUUCCUCCACCCUCACAGUGGAGGAGCACGAGCGCAUCCUCGCUGCAGCCAGAAACCAAGCAGAUAAAGACCAUGCUAUAGAUAACCAGAUCUCCCUAGGCCCCGAAGCAAUCCCAGGUGAAGACCCCCAAUGGGACUAUCAGGCUAAUCGAGGGUCUGAUAUACCCAAGAGGGACCGCAUGAUUAGAUACCUCCUCAGGGGAAUGGAUGCUGUAUCUAACAAAGUUGUCAACUAUGAUAAACUGAGAGAAAUCACCCAACUACCUGAUGAGAACCCCGCCCUCUUUCUCACCCACUUGUAAGAAGCCCUAGUCCGGUAUACUCUACUAGAUCCAGCCCCUCAAAACGGGGCCACUGUAUUAGCCUCCCAUUUUAUCUCCCAAUCAGCACCCGACAUAAGAAAGAAACUAAAGAAAGCAGAAGAGGGGCCAGAGACUCCCAUCCAAGACCUGGUAAAAAUGGCCUUUAAAGUAUUCAAUGCCAGGGAAGAUGCGGCUGAGGCUGCCCGCCAAACUUGCAUGAAGCAGAAGGCUGCCCUCCAGACCCAAGCCCUAGUGGCGGCUCUAAGGCCGGCAGGGAACCAGAAGCCCAAGGCCGAAAUCCAUGCCCCUCCGGGAGCAUGUUUCAAAUGUGGAAAGGAAGGACACUGGUCCCGAGCCUGUCCACAACCACGGCCGCCAACUAAGCCUUGCC